rnacentral:rRNA from 1 species
GUGCGGCGGCUAACACAUGCAAGUCGAACGGUAACAGGAAGCAGCUUGCUGCUUUGCUGACGAGUGGCGGACGGGUGAGUAAUGUCUGGGAAACUGCCUGAUGGAGGGGGAUAACUACUGGAAACGGUAGCUAAUACCGCAUAACGUCGCAAGACCAAAGAGGGGGACCUUCGGGCCUCUUGCCAUCAGAUGUGCCCAGAUGGGAUUAGCUAGUAGGUGGGGUAACGGCUCACCUAGGCGACGAUCCCUAGCUGGUCUGAGAGGAUGACCAGCCACACUGGAACUGAGACACGGUCCAGACUCCUACGGGAGGCAGCAGUGGGGAAUAUUGCACAAUGGGCGCAAGCCUGAUGCAGCCAUGCCGCGUGUAUGAAGAAGGCCUUCGGGUUGUAAAGUACUUUCAGCGGGGAGGAAGGCGAUGCGGUUAAUAACCGCGUCGAUUGACGUUACCCGCAGAAGAAGCACCGGCUAACUCCGUGCCAGCAGCCGCGGUAAUACGGAGGGUGCAAGCGUUAAUCGGAAUUACUGGGCGUAAAGCGCACGCAGGCGGUCUGUCAAGUCGGAUGUGAAAUCCCCGGGCUCAACCUGGGAACUGCAUCCGAAACUGGCAGGCUUGAGUCUCGUAGAGGGGGGUAGAAUUCCAGGUGUAGCGGUGAAAUGCGUAGAGAUCUGGAGGAAUACCGGUGGCGAAGGCGGCCCCCUGGACGAAGACUGACGCUCAGGUGCGAAAGCGUGGGGAGCAAACAGGAUUAGAUACCUUGGUAGUCCAA